AGAGAGUGCAAGCGUUAAUCGGAAUUACUGGGCGUAAAGCGCGCGUAGGUGGAUAUUUAAGUCGGAUGUGAAAGCCCCAAGCUUAACUUGGGAACUGCAUUCGAUACUGGGUAUCUAGAGUAUGGUAGAGGGAAGUGGAAUUUCCAGUGUAGCGGUGAAAUGCGUAGAUAUUGGAAAGAACACCAGUGGCGAAGGCGGCUUCCUGGACUAAUACUGACACUGAGGUGCGAAAGCGUGGGGAGCGAAACAGGAUUAGAGACCCUGGUAGUCCACGCCGUCAACGAUGAGAACUAGAUGUUGGGGAGUUUACUCUUUAGUAUCGAAGCUAACGCGUUAAGUUCUCCGCCUGGGGAGUACGGCCGCAAGGUUA
rnacentral:rRNA from 1 species